GGGGGCGACCUGGCUUCGACGGGGGUCGCGAAACCUAAGGGGCAUGCCGAGGGGCAGAGCACCUCGUUAAUCCAGCUGCAAAAAAGUUAGUCGCCAACGACGAAACUUACUCCCUGGCCGCUUAAGGCGGUCAGCCUCCGACCGGUGCCGUGUCCGUGCGCGCCGAAUCGGGGGUCACCCGAACACGGAAUCGCGCUUGAGCCAGCCCGGAGCUUGAGCGUCAAAACCUACGGGCUCGCGUCGUAGUCACCCUGCCGCUCGGGGGGUAUGGCGUCAAAGCGUAGAGCCGGCUAAGCAUGUAGAACCAAGGGCAGAGGGCUUUCGGACGCGGGUUCGAUUCCCGCCGCCUCCACCA
rnacentral:tmRNA from 1 species